rnacentral:rRNA from 1 species
AUUGAACGCUGGCGGCAGGCCUAACACAUGCAAGUCGAGCGAGCGGCGGACGGGUGAGUAAUGUAUGGGGACUGCCCGAUAGAGGGGGAUAACUACUGGAAACGGUGGCUAAUACCGCAUACUAUCGGAUAACCCAUAUGGGAUUAGCUAGUAGGUGGGGUAACGGCUCACCUAGGCGACGAUCUCUAGCUGGUCUGAGAGGAAGAUCAGUCACACUGGGUGUGAGACACGGCCCAGACUCCUACGUAGGCAGGAGGGGGGAAUAUUGCACAAUGUGUGACAGCCUGAUGCAGCCAUGCCGCGUGUAUGAAGAAGGCCUUAGGUUUGUAAAGUACUUUCUGCGGGCAGGCGUUUCCCGCAGAAGAAGCACCGGCUAACCCCGUGCAAGCCGCGGGGGUAUAC